rnacentral:misc_RNA from 1 species
GGAUUUGGAACAACAAUCUAAAAAUAGGGUUUUAGUCAUAUCUCCAAGAAGAUUAAUUUAAAGAACAAAUUGACAAUUACUAAACAUAUUAAAAGCAGGCAUGUCUCAUCACUCAUGGCAGGUAGCUCAUGUAAAUAUCCAGUUGGAUCAAUUGAAUGAAACCUAUACAAGCAUUCACCCACUAGAAAAUAUCCCAAAAAGUAGAACUGACUGGCAGUAGAACCAACAGUUCAGAUAUUCAUAAAAAAGAUUUUAACCUCAUGAUGCUUUCAUCAAGAAUAAGUAACUUCUGAAUUUCAAAACUCAAAAUAACAGAACUUACAUGCCUGUCAAAUCU